rnacentral:rRNA from 1 species
GACGAACGUUGGCGGCGUGCUUAACACAUGCAAGUCGAACGGAAAGGCCCUGCUUUUGUGGGGUGCUCGAGUGGCGAACGGGUGAGUAACACGUGAGUAACCUGCCCUUGACUUUGGGAUAACUUCAGGAAACCGGGGCUAAUACCGGAUAGGAGCUCCUGCUGCAUGGUGGGGGUUGGAAAGUUUCGGCGGUUGGGGAUGGACUCGCGGCUUAUCAGCUUGUUGGUGGGGUAGUGGCUUACCAAGGCUUUGACGGGUAGCCGGCCUGAGAGGGUGACCGGCCACAUUGGGACUGAGAUACGGCCCAGACUCCUACGGGAGGCAGCAGUGGGGAAUAUUGCACAAUGGGCGGAAGCCUGAUGCAGCAACGCCGCGUGCGGGAUGACGGCCUUCGGGUUGUAAACCGCUUUCGCCUGUGACGAAGCGUGAGUGACGGUAAUGGGUAAAGAAGCACCGGCUAACUACGUGCCAGCAGCCGCGGUGAUACGUAGGGUGCGAGCGUUGUCCGGAUUUAUUGGGCGUAAAGGGCUCGUAGGUGGUUGAUCGCGUCGGAAGUGUAAUCUUGGGGCUUAACCCUGAGCGUGCUUUCGAUACGGGUUGACUUGAGGAAGGUAGGGGAAAAUGGAAUUCCUGGUGGAGCGGUGGAAUGCGCAGAUAUCAGGAGGAACACCAGUGGCGAAGGCGGUUCUCUGGGCCUUUCCUGACGCUGAGGAGCGAAAGCGUGGGGAGCGAACAGGCUUAGAUACCCUGGUAGUCCACGCUGUAAACGGUGGGUACUAGGUGUGGGGUCCAUUCCACGGGUUCCGUGCCGUAGCUAACGCUUUAAGUACCCCGCCUGGGGAGUACGGCCGCAAGGCUAAAACUCAAAGGAAUUGAUGGGGCCCCGCACAAGCGGCGGAGCAUGCGGAUUAAUUCGAUGCAACGCGUAGAACCUUACCUGGGUUUGACAUGGAUCGGGAGCGCUCAGAGAUGGGUGUGCCUCUUUUGGGGUCGGUUCACAGGUGGUGCAUGGCUGUCGUCAGCUCGUGUCGUGAGAUGUUGGGUUAAGUCCCGCAACGAGCGCAACCCUUGUUCACUGUUGCCAGCACGUUAUGGUGGGGACUCAGUGGAGACCGCCGGGGUCAACUCGGAGGAAGGUGGGGAUGACGUCAAGUCAUCAUGCCCCUUAUGUCCAGGGCUUCACGCAUGCUACAAUGGCUGGUACAGAGAGUGGCGAGCCUGCGAGGGUGAGCGAAUCUCGGAAAGCCGGUCUCAGUUCGGAUUGGGGUCUGCGACUCGACCUCAUGAAGUCGGAGUCGCUAGUAAUCGCAGAUCAGCAACGCUGCGGUGAGUACGUUCCCGGG